ACGGAGGGUGCAAGCGUUAAUCGGAAUCACUGGGCGUAAAGCGCGCGUAGGCGGCUUGAUAAGUCAGAUGUGAAAGCCCCGGGCUCAACCUGGGAAUUGCAUUUGAUACUGUCUGGCUAGAGUAUGGUAGAGGGGGGUGGAAUUCCAGGUGUAGCGGUGAAAUGCGUAGAUAUCUGGAGGAACAUCAGUGGCGAAGGCGACCCCCUGGACCGAUACUGACGCUGAGGUGCGAAAGCGUGGGGAGCAAACAGG
rnacentral:rRNA from 1 species